AACAUCAAUCCCCAGUGGUUUUCUGAACCGCAGGUGGACUUGGACCUGGGCGUCUGCCUCACAAGGCUCGCCUCAAAUGACUCAGUGGGAACUUCUUGACCUACGCCUGACGUGAUAAGUUUCGUCUCGGCCGGUCUCGAGGCCCGCUCACAACAACCCAUAUCUUUGA
rnacentral:misc_RNA from 1 species